UACGUAGGGUGCGAGCGUUGUCCGGAAUUAUUGGGCAUAAAGAGCUCGUAGGCGGUCUGUCGCGUCGAAUGUGAAAACCCGGGGCUCAACUCCGGGCUUGCAUUCGAUACGGGCAGGCUAGAGUUCGGUAGGGGAGUCUGGAAUUCCUGGUGUAGCGGUGAAAUGCGCAGAUAUCAGGAGGAACACCGGUGGCGAAGGCGGGACUCUGGGCCGAUACUGACGCUGAGGAGCGAAAGCGUGGGGAGCGAACAGG
rnacentral:rRNA from 1 species